AUGAACAAAUUACUGGAGGAACUCAAGAGGAAAAGAGAACAACUUGCAGAAAAGCAACUACUUGAGCCUGGGAAAAAAUACUUUAAACGCUCUGAAUUGCUAACAAAAGAAAGGGAGGAAUAUUUUGAAAAGUACAGAGCUAGUCAAAAUAUUGACCAUCAAAAUGUUGAAAAAGAAUGCUCAGGUGAUUCCAGUUCUCACAAUGAUCCGGAGCAUCAAAAACUGUCUCGGAAAGAAGUCAUUAGAAGGCUGAGAGAGAGAGGGAACCCAUUCUACUUUUUGGUGAAACAGAGUUGGAGUCUUUUAAACGAUUACGGCAGCAUGAGAUCUUAG
rnacentral:lncRNA from 1 species